rnacentral:lncRNA from 1 species
CUGCGGGCUUGGUGGCGGCUGGUUUUUCACACAGGAAUCCUCCUCGCCACCGCUCCCUCGAAGGCCGCCCCCCGCUCCACCCCCAGCACUGGGCGCCCGCGCCUCCCAACUCAGCCCGCCGCCGAGCAGACGGCGCGCCGCGCCGGGGCGCCCGAGCCUCUGAUCCCCUCCCGGGGCGCCUGUGGCCUCCCUUCCCCUCCUGGGGCGCCUGUGACCUCCCGUCCCCUCCCGCGGCUCCCGCGGCCUCCGACCUCCUGCCGGGGCGCCUCAAGGGCCCCUGCCCCACAUCAGAGGGUCUUGCGGUUUCCUGGUUUGGUUCAACAUCUCUGAAACCCAGAGGUGAAGAAGAAACCAUGGAGGAGAAUCCGAAACAGUCUUCCAGAUCAGACCUCUAAAAUAACUAAAUUCUUGUUAAUCAUUAGAUUCUCCCUUUUAUUUAAUGUGUAAGUCCAAGGGGAUUCCUUCUGCUUCCCCAUUCAAUUAGACAGCAACCUCUUCCUCUAAAGUUCUCUCAUCUGAAGCCAUCUGAGCAGGAGCACUUUGACCAACUCAAUUCUGCUCUGAUCUGGACUACUUCUCCCAGUUUAGGGAUCAGUAAAUUGCCAAACACUUCCCAAUUUAUCCCUGAAGGAAUCCCUGAAAAAUGAUGGCCUUUAUUCUCCCUCAGAGAGGGAGCUUGAGCUCUUGAGAAAGACAUGAAGGCCCUUGCCGCUGUCGGCAUCACUCCUUCCUCCCUAAUCCGGUCAGUUAAUUGCUGAGUGCUCGCUUCCUGAUCUGCGUGAUGGCCUCGGAACCGGGCUGCGUGUAGACCUGGGUGACUAUCAGCUCAGCUCCCAAGUGGAGGGCCUCGGAAGACGCUCUGUGCGGCCUACUAACAAGCACGAGAACCUCAGAAUGUGACUGUAUUUGGAGAUUGUGCCCUUUAAAGAGGUGAUUGAAUUAAAACGAGCCCUUUAGUUGGGUCAUAAUACAAUGUGACUAGAGUUCUUACAAGAAGAGGAAAUUUGGUCUCACAAAAGACACCAGAGGUACACGCAGAGAAAAGGCCAUGAGAAGACACAGCGGGAAGAUAGCCAUCUGCAAGCCAAGGAGAGAGGCCUCCAGAGACACCAAAACCUGCCGACACCUUCAUCUUGGACUUCAUGCCCCCAAAACUGUGAGAAAAUAAAUUUCUGUUGUUUAAGC